rnacentral:pre_miRNA from 1 species
GAUGCUAAUGUAGACUUUGGAAUAGGCAAAUCCGCGGGGGAUAUUUAAAUCCCCCGCGGAUUUGCCUAUUCCAAAGUCUACAUUAGCAUC